rnacentral:rRNA from 1 species
UACGUAGGGGGCAAGCGUUGUCCGGAAUCAUUGGGCGUAAAGCGUGCGCAGGCGGUUCGCUGUGUCCUGUGUGAAAGCCCCGGGCUUAACCUGGGAAUGGCAUGGGAAACUGGCGGGCUGGAGUGUGGCAGAGGGGGGUGGAAUUCCGCGUGUAGCAGUGAAAUGCGUAGAGAUGCGGAGGAACACCGAUGGCGAAGGCAGCCCCCUGGGCUAACACUGACGCUCAGGCACGAAAGCGUGGGGAGCAAACAGG